UGCUAUUUGGACCCCCAUGGUUUUAGAUAUUGCAUUAUAGCCCCUAUGAAAUUUCCUAUACUUUUCUCCAUCAUUUCCUGCAAAUUCCAACCCGAAGAAAAUGAAGGGUCUCCUCCUUUCCUCCUCCCCAAGUCUAUUUUAAUUGCUAUUAGCACCCCAUUGUUCUAAAUAUUGCAUAAUGGCCCUUGGGAAAUUUCCUCCUAAUUUCCUAGCCUAAGCAAGGAAGACUCCUCUUCUUUUCCUCUCAACUCCCCUAAGACAGCCCUUUCUUCCUCUUGGAGAAGAAGUUAGCUUUUAUUGAUUCAAUACUCGAUUACAGAAACAUUUUCUCGUCACUUUCUUCAUCUCAUCCCACGGCAGUCUCAUCCCAUAGACUCGACGAAAGCUCAUCAAAAUUUCCCCUUCUUCUCUUGGAAACUUGACAUCUAAUUAAUGGGAUUAAUUUCCCUAUAAAAUCCCCCAAACUAUCAAGAGGAUGGGACACUGGAGAGCCUCCAAGUUCAGCCCCAAAAGUCUUCAAGCCAAAAGUUCCAAGAAUCCUUCGGUUUACUCUUUCCCUUUGUCUUCGAUUUUUCUUCAAAGGGGAAGUCAGAAUCUUAAAUGGCUAUCGGUCGAGUAGACACGGAAAUACGGAGGGGCCGGUAUUCCAACUACGGUACUAUAGACUAUAGAGUGGAUAGCUUCCAUUAACAAACGGGCUCAGAAUAUCGACGUCUAUUACCGAUAACCAUGUUAUGAAUCUGAUAGGUAUCCCGUCAUAUUGCAUUUAUGUGUUAUAAUUGUUAAUACAGACUAUAGGGACUUGAUGUCUAUAUGUACUACAGCUCAGUGGUCGUUGCAUCCCCAUGUUAAUACACCAUUUUGUUUACGUGAGUAAACCUUGUGAGUAUACGUUAAGCAGGGGAAGCUCUUCGCCCAUGUCAAGGUUGAGUUUCUCGAACCAGUUAUGGAAAUUGGUGGAGCGGAGUUCGAGGAAUCACGAGCUUUUAUAUCAACCGACUAUUUUCAAAGAUUUUAUUAGUCACUUUCUUUUUAAGUGUUUUAACUUGAGAAGUUUAUAGUUGUAAUUAUAACGUACUCUAUUUAGGAAUCUAGUCUAUUAAACCGGGGUGUAUGUAAAAUAAAGUUAUUUUGUGUUCCGUUGUAUUCCAAGUAUUGCUUUAAAACCCCGUCUAUGUUGAAGUAGCACUCUUUAUGAAAAUUAUAUCUUUCAAAUGUGGGUUAUGUUUUGAAGAAAGAAAAAUGCUUUGACGA